rnacentral:rRNA from 1 species
UACGUAGGGUGCGAGCGUUGUCCGGAAUUAUUGGGCGUAAAGAGCUCGUAGGCGGUGUGUCACGUCGGCCGUGAAAACCUGGGGCUUAACUCUGGGCGUGCGGUCGAUACGGGCAUCACUAGAGUUCGGCAGGGGAGACUGGAAUUCCUGGUGUAGCGGUGAAAUGCGCAGAGAUCGGGAAGAACACCAGUGGCGAAGGCGGCCGGCUGGGGGCGCCCUGACGCUGAGGCGCGAGAGCGUGGGGAGCAAACCGG